ensembl:lncRNA
GGCCACCAAAUGGCUCUUGAAGAGCACCUGGAGCUCAAAGCGGUGGGAGAUCACCUGUGCUUGCUCUUUGGUGUGUGGAUGAGCUUCAGACGUAGCAGAGAUAAUUCUUCUGGUGAGCCCUUGGGCCGCCUCUGAGACUCUGGCACUGAAAGAGUGGAGCAACAGGCUGCUAUCCGAGGCAGGGAGAGGUGCACUGUGGCUGAUUAUCUUCCCAUGAAGAACAAGAAAUCUUUUCUGAUGGGCUGGUCCUCUGUGUGCAUGAAAUGUGAAGUGUGCCUGCAGUCCAACCACCUCAUUCUGAGCCCCCGCACCAAGUGCAGAUGGAUUGGUUCUUUGGCCAUUCACCUUACCUCCAAGUUAGGAUCAGCUCUGGCGUGUGCUGUGUUCAUAGACCUGUUAGCCCAAGUGCCUCUGAGAGGAGUUGAGUCUGGG